CUUUAGCUCUGCUAAAGACUUAUGCGGUAACAUCCUCCGCGUAGUGGCUAGAACCACGUUAGACAGAAACAAAAGGAGAAAACAAAAUG
rnacentral:ncRNA from 1 species